CUGGCUCAGGGCGGGCCGAGCGAAGCCGCUGCCGUUGGCAGCGUCGCUCCCGCCCCUUCCCGCGAUGUCGCUGCUCCGCGGGCCGCGGCCCCGCGCCGCCGGCAGGAAGGGCCCCAGAAAGGCGGCGGCGGCCAGGCGGGACUGGGAUAGUACCGUCCAUGAUUUGACAGUGCACCGUGCAACUCCUGAGGAUAUCCUCCGUCGCCGUGAAAUACACAAAUCAAAAAACAAAGCCUUGGCACAUGUGGAACUCCAAGAGAAAGCACUGAACAGAAAAUGGAAGAAGCAAAGGCAAGUGGAUGCAGAUUCGUUGGAGAAAAGGAAGCUGGCUCUGAUGCGUGAGAUUCUGUCUGAUCAGCACCAUUGGCAAGAUGUAUUGGAACGAUCUGGUCAGGUUAUAGCUGUGGCAAAAGACUUGCUUGAGGCUGCUCCUCGCACACGAACAGGUUUUCCUAAUGUAACAAUGGCUCCUAACUGUGACUUAGAAUCAUCUCAAGGACCCAUUGUACAAAAAAGUCAUCCUCCCAGCCAGCUUUCCAUCCUUAGUGAAUCUGUCAUGGAUUCCCAGGCUCUUCAUGAAGAGGAGGAGGAAGCAUUAGCAGAAGAUGGACACCAUGAUGUUUUGGGUUUCAAAUCCAGGAUCAAUUCUGACAGGCUACUUCGGUUGUUGAGAAAAGGAAAUUCCUUGGUGAAUUCUCCAUUGUGGGUUGAAAAGGAUAUGAGAAAAUCCACCUUAUCACAGGAAUCCAAUGUGCCUUGCACUCCAACAACUGUUUCUCCUUCACUGGAUCACUCAGCCCUCAAUGCUACCAGUGUAAUCAAGAGAACACAUUCAAGACUUCGGAAUGAAGAUGAAGAAGAGUCUGUAGACUCCAGUGACACUGUGAGACAAGUGCUGAACCCAAACUCAAGAAAACAAAAGCAAAUUGCAGCAAAGAUGAAAAGAAAGCAAGCUGAACAGAACUCUGCAAGACAGAAGAGAGGUGAUUCUCCAGCUAAUUUAAUCCAGACUGACCUUCAGAGGGACAGCAAACCCAGCCUAGAUGUUCUCAGCCACAUGAUCCAGGAAGUAGAGCGUGAACUGGAGGAAUAUGAGCGAUGUACAGGUCGUGAGGUCCCAAAAAAAGAGAGGAGUGAAGGCCUGUCUGGGUUUACUCUGUCAUUGGUGAACGCUCUCUGUCGCUUGAUGCGCUACCUCAGAGAGGCUGAAAUGCAACUGCAUGAGAAAGAGAUGGUGAGGCAGCAGCAGAAAGAGAUGUUGAAUGAACACAGAGAGCUGAUUGAUGCUCUGACAGCUGAGGUUCUUCAAGUAAGGGAAGAAAACAUUACUAUGCAGAAGAAGCUUCAGCAAUACAUGACAGUAACAGAUCAAAAGCUGAUGUGCCUCACACAAGCAUUUAAAGGCCUACCUUUGGUAGAACCUGAAAGAGAACAAAGUCCAAAACAUUUUGGAAUUGCAAGCAGAGGCCCAGCAAACGGCCAAGAAAAACCUGAUUUGACCUACUCUGAGCCCAGGACUGAAGCAGGCAAUAGGGAAAAUAUGCUGAAAUUUCCACAGGAAGAACUUCCUUUCACCUGUCACCCAGGGCCAGGUGCCUCAGCUGAUAUGAGACCUGGUAGAAGCUUCCCAGCUCACAUCUUCCAGCCAGCUGUGCUGUUGUCCCCACCACAGCAGAAAAGCACUCAGGAAUUGUCUUCCAUCCAGAAUGUGUUUGCAGCCAUUUCCCAGUCUACUGAAAGAGAGCCAUGCAAGGAAAGGAUCUUGCCUUCCUCCUUGAGGACACAGAGCACAACUGAGGAGAACUGCCCCACCUCUCAAAGGCAGCCAAUUCUUCCUGCAGACAAAGACUUGGAGAAUUCCCAUGACAAAACCAAUCUGUCCUGCCCAGGUGACACUGGAAAAAACAGCACAGCUGAAGAGUUCCUUCAAAAUGGUGAUCUACUGGGACAGAUAGCUGAGCUGACACGGCAGAAUGCUCUAAUGAAAGCUCAACUGAGCCAAUUCAGAGGUGCCUCUGGAGACAAAAGUGAUUGUCUGCAUCAGCCAGACUUGACACAAAAUACAGAUCCCAGUCCAGACUCAUCACAAGGACAGAGUCAUCUCAUGGUAUCAAGGAGCUUGGAGGAAAGAAUAGCGGAGCUGACUCGCCAGAGUACAGAAGCACGGGAUAAACUGUUGCAGUUGAUAGACCAGCAGAAAUCAGCUGCUGCUGAUACAGUCCCUCCAAUGGUGUCUCCUGUUCUAACCCCAUCCCUGAAUUACACUGAAAAUGCAAGGAGGACAGCUGAAAUGUCUGGUCCCAUGGCAGUGGCUGCAGACAGCUCCAAGGAUGACAGUGUUCCCCAUGCCCGUGUGACCAGUAUAAGAAGGACUGUAGGAGACUCCAGCAAACCUUUAAGUGCCACAUCAGAAAGUACCAAAUUAACUUCUGUCAGCCAAAGACCAAAGUUAAAAUUGCUUGGAAGAAAUACCUCAACUCAUUAAGAGACAGCAGUCCCACAGUUGGGAUGGGACUACAUAACCAUAGUGCCACAGGGUUAAGCCAAGUCCAUGUGUGAUGAUGGUGAGCCUCCCAUUAGUGAGUGGCAGAGGUUUAGGCUGCCAGGUGUGCUGUUCUGCUGCCUUCCUCCUUCACCUCUCCCAGGUUACACUGCAGUGGCUGAAGUCCUGCUGGAGCAUAAGUUUGAUGUGUGACAUCAGCAGCUCACAGAAAUGUACUUUGGAGUCCAGCAUGAAAAUGAAGAUACAUGGGCUUGUGUUAAAUGAGGUAACUUGAGAUUCAGUUUAGUUUUGCCUCCAAAGCUCAAAACAAGCCUUAAGAGGAAAAGCUACUGACAGAUUUAAAAGAGAGAGUGUAUAGAGUGCAAAGGGAGAUGUUUGGUAGUGAAGGUGUUUCUCUGGAGAGUGAGUUCCCCUAGGAAUGCUUUGUAGAAAAUCUCUGAAAUCCCAGGACAGAAGUCCUCUCUCUCUGUCCCAAGUGGUGUUCCUAAGCAGGAAAUCAGUGUUGUCCUUCUGUUGCAGCUGUCACGUUCCCCCAUGUGCCAUGGGCUUGCAGAAAUUUUGUCAUGUGAGACUUGGGCUAGGAGCAAUUUACUUGUGCAUGUUUGAGGCCCAGCACAAGUAAAGGUCAAAUGGCACCUCCUUUUAAAACACAGUUUUAAACUAAAAAACGAGAUAUUUAGGUUAAAUGUUAGGAAGAAAUCUUUUACUCAGCGUGUGGUGAGUCCAUGGACAUCAAGCUGGAUGCAGAAAGUGAGGAUUGCGGAUAACACCAACCUCUGCCUCACAGAAAUGCUCCUCUCACCGUUGAAGUGACAAUUUCAAAUCCAUCUUUAGCUGACUGCGGGAGAGGUUCUGCCCAAACUGGGUGAUGUUUGUAAAUCCUUUGUUGGAUUUUCUGGAUGAGAUUGAUAUAAAGGAGAAGAGCUAUCACCUGGGUAAUGAUGCAUCAAGUACUCCCAGACCAAGCCUGGCAAAUCCGCCACGUUUAGAAAAGUCUCUGAAACACAGUAGUUCCCAGGGCUGACAAAUUCACAGCAAAACUGGACUUGUUGGUCAACAGGAAAGAAUCCAUCAGUAUGUUCUACUUGUCUUUUCUUUGUAAAUUCCCCAAAUGAGUAAUUUUCCAUGCUCCUCUGGCUGCCAUUAAGCUAAGUUCUGCUACUUUGACAAGUUCCCAGGUUUCUGUCAACAAGUCAUCUUGGUCUUUUCUUCAGUCCUGUUCACCAAUGACUUCCAUUUCACAUAAGAAACAAAUAAACUUUUUCAGUUUAUUUGUUUCUUAUGGCAGAAUGUCCAGAAAAUAGGUUCAGGAAAGCAUGAGGCAUCCAGUUCAAAAUUUAAUAAAUGGACUAUACCCAUGCCACUCACAGAGUCUAGGAGGGAAAUUAUCCUUUAAAGAUUUUUUUGAACAUGCUAUAAAAAGUUUUACCAAUAUUCCUUCAGAAAAAAUAUAAAUGGGAAAGCAGCAUAAAGCUUUCCCCAGAAGGGCUAAUUAGGAGAUACAAUAGAAAUAUUAGUCAGAAGUCCCUGACGAGAAGGGAGAAGGAAACAAAUAUUCCAUAUCUCAGUGUAAUGAUCUAGUGUUUAAUUGUAGGAAAUGAGAAGCAGAUAAACAGGAAAAAGAGGAAGGAGGUGGCAGUGAAAGUAAGGUGUGGAAAGACCAGAUCACUCAGAGCAACUACUCUGGGAGGCUCUGAUAGACAUCAUUCACAAUAGGGGCAGGAAAACAAGUUUAAAGAGGACUUAAUUUCAAGUAGAUCUUGGGUCAAAUGAGAAUAAUUAGCUAUCCAUCAACUCUUGUGGAAAAAGGAAGACAUUGGCUUAAUUUUAAUAACAUUUUCAUUGCUUCAUUUAUGUAACUAUGCUCCUUGAUUGGCCUCCAGUGUAUAUAAAUUAACAUAUUGGAUUUUUCAUCCAUAAAUUUUGAUCAGUUACAAAGUAAACUCUGAAUAAUCCAAGAUGUGAGAUGCUCUGUCAGUCAAGUUCUUUGCAGUGCUUUGCAGACCAAUGUGCUUCAUUAGAGAUAUUCACAGAGCUCCAGUUUUCAUGUCCACUGAGUUGCCUUCCACAGGUUAGGAUGUAGUGGCCCAGGGGCUUCCUCCACUGGAUGACAGUACCCAAGAAAGCAAUAUUAUGGGGAAAGUAACCAAAGUGUACCAUGAGUUUGUACUAAAGCAGCUCCCGUUUUGUGGGUCACAGGGUUCAUUUUUUUGGGUUUUUUUGGUUUUUUCCCUGUAUUUCUGCUUUUCCUUUCUUUCCCCAAGUCUCACAGGGCUCCCUUGAUGAUUCUCUCCAGCCCAUUUCACUACAACUUCCUCCAGUCAUCCUGAGAGUGCUCCUGCUUUGUACUGGUAACUCAUAAAUACAUUACUCAGCAGUAAUCUGUGCUCCCGCCUGAUCAGUGGCAGGGCAGCUGAUCAGAUCAGCUGGGCUGGAUCCCCAGAUUUCCUCUGCCACUGCCAGUCACAGCUUAUUCCACUAUCUCUCUGCAGCGAUGGAAGAUGUUGCUGUUCUCUAGGUAGCUGACAUUUUCUACACAAUGGUGGCAUUAUGACUCUUCCCCUGUUUUCUUCCCACACCCACGUUUACAGGGCCAUUCUUUCCUCCAGUGUGAUUAAAAGAACCAGUCUUUCUUUGUCACAAUAUUGAAUAUUGUUAUCAAGUCAUCUUGUCUCACAAUUACUGCAGCUUUUAUCCUCUAACCUCUGCAACCACUGCACUUGGUAAUAGUUCAUCUGAAGAAGACUGUUGGAACAUCUUUUUUCUUUUGAUUGUCUUGGAGGUUGAAAACACUUCAUCGUGACCUAAAACUUUGAUCUUGUAUUACAACAUAAAAGACACAGGAAUGUUUUGAGUGUAUCACAAGAGGAUUUCUGUGCCAUUUGGCAUCAGAGUGGCAUUAACAUCUGUUACAGAGGAAAUACUUGUGUUAUAUGUAGAUAUUAAGUAUUUAUCUACUGCUCUGCAAAUGGACUCUGGUUCUAAAAAACCAAAAACCUGACUGGAGAUCUUCCUAGUUGUUUAUUUUUGACUUAGGGAACUGAAACUCCAGAAGUCUCAAAUGCUCUUCACAUUAUAUUGUAUUCAAAGCAGCUAGCAGGAUGGGACAGGCAAGAUACUGAAUGUCGUGGGCAAACUAAUGGAGAGGCUGGUAAAAAGUUCAGUUAUUAAAGGCUGAAUGUGUUACUCUA